rnacentral:rRNA from 1 species
UAUGAACGCUGGCGGCGUGCCUAAUACAUGCAAGUCGAGCGAACAGACGAGGAGCUUGCUCCUCUGACGUUAGCGGCGGACGGGUGAGUAACACGUGGAUAACCUACCUAUAAGACUGGGAUAACUUCGGGAAACCGGAGCUAAUACCGGAUAAUAUAUUGAACCGCAUGGUUCAAUAGUGAAAGACGGUUUUGCUGUCACUUAUAGAUGGAUCCGCGCCGCAUUAGCUAGUUGGUAAGGUAACGGCUUACCAAGGCAACGAUGCGUAGCCGACCUGAGAGGGUGAUCGGCCACACUGGAACUGAGACACGGUCCAGACUCCUACGGGAGGCAGCAGUAGGGAAUCUUCCGCAAUGGGCGAAAGCCUGACGGAGCAACGCAGCGUGAGUGAUGACGGUGUUCGGAUCGUAAAACUCUGUUAUUAGGGAAGAACAAAUGUGUAAGUAACUAUGCACGUCUUGACGGUACCUAAUCAGAAAGCCACGGCUAACUACGUG